UACGUAGGCAGCAAGCGUUGUUCGGAGUUACUGGGCGUAAAGGGUGCGUAGGCGGCUUCUUAAGUCUGGUGUGAAAUCUCCCGGCUCAACUGGGAGGGUGCGCCGGAUACUGAGGGGCUAGAGUGUGGGAGAGGAAAGUGGAAUUCCUGGUGUAGCGGUGAAAUGCGUAGAUAUCAGGAGGAACACCGGUGGUGUAGACGGCUUACUAGACCAUGACUGACGCUGAGGCACGAAAGCGUGGGUAGCAAACAGG
rnacentral:rRNA from 1 species